GACGGCUCAGUUGGUGGCACAUGAGGCUCUUAAUCUCAAGGUCAUGGGUUCGAGCCCCACGUUGGACA